rnacentral:rRNA from 1 species
UAGCCGGACUGAGAGGUUGAACGGCCACAUUGGGACUGAGACACGGCCCAGACUCCUACGGGAGGCAGCAGUGGGGAAUAUUGCACAAUGGGGGAAACCCUGAUGCAGCGACGCCGCGUGGAGGAAGAAGGUCUUCGGAUUGUAAACUCCUGUUGUUGAGGAAGAUAAUGACGGUACUCAACAAGGAAGUGACGGCUAACUACGUGCCAGCAGCCGCGGUAAAACGUAGGUCACAAGCGUUGUCCGGAAUUACUGGGUGUAAAGGGAGCGCAGGCGGGAAGACAAGUUGGAAGUGAAAUCCAUGGGCUCAACCCAUGAACUGCUUUCAAAACUGUUUUUCUUGAGUAGUGCAGAGGUAGGCGGAAUUCCCGGUGUAGCGGUGGAAUGCGUAGAUAUCGGGAGGAACACCAGUGGCGAAGGCGGCCUACUGGGCACCAACUGACGCUGAGGCUCGAAAGUGUGGGUAGCAAACAGGAUUAGAUACCCUGGUAGUCCACACCGUAAACGAUGAUUACUAGGUGUUGGAGGAUUGACCCCUUCAGUGCCGCAGUUAACACAAUAAGUAAUCCACCUGGGGAGUACGACCGCAAGGUUGAAACUCAAAGGAAUUGACGGGGGCCCGCACAAGCAGUGGAGUAUGUGGUUUAAUUCGACGCAACGCGAAGAACCUUACCAAGUCUUGACAUCCUGCGACGCACAUAGAAAUAUGUGUUUCCUUCGGGACGCAGAGACAGGUGGUGCAUGGUUGUCGUCAGCUCGUGUCGUGAGAUGUUGGGUUAAGUCCCGCAACGAGCGCAACCCUUACUGUCAGUUACUACGCAAGAGGACUCUGGCAGGACUGCCGUUGACAAAACGGAGGAAGGUGGGGAUGACGUCAAAUCAUCAUGCCCUUUAUGACUUGGGCUACACACGU